UACGGAGGGUGCAAGCGUUAAUCGGAAUUACUGGGCGUAAAGCGUGCGUAGGUGGUUAAUUAAGUUAUCUGUGAAAUCCCUGGGCUUAACCUGGGCAGGUCAGAUGAUACUGGUUGACUCGAGUAUGGGAGAGGGUAGUGGAAUUUCCGGUGUAGCGGUGAAAUGCGUAGAGAUCGGAAGGAACACCAGUGGCGAAGGCGGCUACCUGGCCUAAUACUGACAAUGAGGCACGAAAGCGUGGGGAGCAAACAGG
rnacentral:rRNA from 1 species